AGACUUGGAGGUGGGCUGUGUGCAGUAAACUGGAAUGCUAUCCCUCGCUCACUGCUCAGUGUAGGAGUGAUCCGAAGCAGGACAAGCUCUGACUGCAGCUGCUGUUGGCUUUGUGUGGACUGGACGCGGAGCUUGGGAGAGGGGGAGGGUUAUUACCCCAGUUCACAGUCAGUGGAAUUACAGCUAUAGCGGCAGUAUAUAUGGGAUUGCUUUUUCUCGUCUUCCUGGAGAUGCUCAGACCCAGUAUACUUUAAGGAAGAGAAAUGUAAAGGAAAUCUAGUAUGCUUUUUUUUCCUACGAAGAAUAUUUGAAUUAAGUUUUACCUCUUAAAAAAGAAUACCUAUUCUUCCAUAACGUGACUGUACCAGAUAUUCUGAGAAAGCAGCAAGAAGCAAAAGCCGGAAAUAGCUAUUUCACAGCAGGUAAUCAUACCUCAGGAUAUAGCUACUGUACAAAGUUUAUACUUGGAUAAUCCUGGAUAGGAAUAAAGGUGGGGGGUAACUGACUGAAAAACCUAUUACUAUACAGGCCUUAGCAUCAUGAAUGGCUUUCUUCAUGAGGAUCUGAAGUUACUAUCUCUGACCACAUUGCACAGAAGAGCCAAUAAGAAUUUCAAAGACAGCAAUUUCUACUAAGGGAAUUAAGCUACACAAAAGGAACCUUCACACAGAAACUCUAUCAGAAAAAAAAAAAAAGUGCAUAGGAAGCCAUGUGUUCUACAUAGUAACAGGAAGCUGAAUUGUUUCUGGUCCCUACUUUAAUGAGCUUGCCCACCAUGCUGAACUGCAGCUGGAAUGUUCAUUGACAACAGCGAGCCUGAUCUGGAGGUGUGUGCGGCAUAGGAUUACUUGAAUAAACAGUGAAGAACAUUUCCAAGGACUGAACAAGAGUUUAUAAGUCCCAGUCCCUCACCAGGAAAAUAAUAUAUGCGCAUUGGAUUUUCACUCACGCAAAAUUUAUUCACAUCAUUCAAUAAGGGCUCUGACGCUACCGUGUACAAAGACCUCAAGACUGCUGAC